rnacentral:lncRNA from 1 species
CAGCCAAUAUCAGUUGCAUGGUAUUUCUUGAGAUAUUCUUGGUAGACAACAGAGAUGUAUCAUUGGUGGCUCAACUAACUUGAACCUAAGAUUUUGCAGUACAACAACGUGCCUAGCAUCACAUGUUGAUCCACUAGAAGUCCCUUUUCUGGAAAAUAAAAAUAAAAACAAGUGGGUGGAGAUCUUACCUUCUGUGCCCGUGCGUACCUCUUUACUUGGGCUGAACCCGCUUACGUUUGAGUUACGAAACCGUGAUGUAGGUAGCAAGGGGCUGAUGGGAGGGUCGGCGCCCUUCAAAAUCGAGCCCUCUUUUCUUUAAAGUCGGAAGGGCAGUAUCAUCCAAACCGAGCUUCGGAGUUCUAACAAAUUAUAUUGAUCAAACUUAUGCUGGUUAUAACUAUUCUGUCUGGAGGAGUAGAUCAGCAGAGCUCGUGAUCGGCAAAGAGUGAAACAGCAGCACUUGGGAGGCACGGGAAGAUGUGGGCUUGGAUUUUGAAAAAGGAUGGGGAGGGGACUUUCUUUUAUUUUCCCUUUGCGUUGCCAAAUUCCGAGCCUGAGGUCAGAGAUGAUUUUCCUCUGGGUGAAAGACGAGGAAGGCUAGUCUUCAGCUCAAGUACCGAGGUGGCAAACUCCAGGAGCUAAAAUGAGACUUGCAAAAUGUCCUAGUCGAAGUGUUCUCCAAGAGAGAUUCUUCGGCGUUCAAAUCAAUAGAGAGAGAUUUUGUAGGAGUUUAUUUUGAGGUUCUCGCUCUUCUUUAUUUAUAAAAGAAGAAUGUACAAGUCCGAGGGACUAAUCGAUUUUCAAAUAUCGCAUACAGAUCAUACUGACAGUGAUCGCUCUCAUGUUCACGAUACAGGCC